GACGAACGCUGGCGGCGUGCCUAAUACAUGCAAGUAGAACGCACAGUUUAUACCGUAGCUUGCUACACCAUAAACUGUGAGUUGCGAACGGGUGAGUAACACGUAGGUAACCUGCCUGGUAGCGGGGGAUAACUAUUGGAAACGAUAGCUAAUACCGCAUAAUAUUAAUUAUUGCAUGAUAAUUGAUUGAAAGAUGCAAUUGCAUCACUACCAGAUGGACCUGCGUUGUAUUAGCUAGUAGGUGAGGUAACGGCUCACCUAGGCGACGAUACAUAGCCGACCUGAGAGGGUGAUCGGCCACACUGGGACUGAGACACGGCCCAGACUCCUACGGGAGGCAGCAGUAGGGAAUCUUCGGCAAUGGACGAAAGUCUGACCGAGCAACGCCGCGUGAGUGAAGAAGGUUUUCGGAUCGUAAAGCUCUGUUGUAAGAGAAGAACGGGUGUGAGAGUGGAAAGUUCACACUGUGACGGUAUCUUACCAGAAAGGGACGGCUAACUACGUG
rnacentral:rRNA from 1 species